UCCGAGUUGACCCCGGCAGUCUCCUGCGAGUCCCCGCCAUUACGCGCUGGCAACACAGGACAAGGGUUGCGCUCGUUGCGGGACUUAACCCAACAUGUCACCACACGAGCUGACGACAGCCAUGCAGCACCUGUCUCCCUGUCGUAUUGCUACGAAGACCGUAUCUCUACGGCUGUCAGGGGAUGUCAAACCCAGGUAAGGUUCUUCGCGUUGCUUCGAAUUAAACCACAUGAUCCACCGCUUGUGCGGGCCCCCGUCAAUUCCUUUGAGUUUUAGUCUUGCGACCGUACUUCCCAGGCGGGGUACUUAGUGCGUUAGCGCCGGUUCGGCGGGGGUCAAGACCCACCAAACCUAGUACCCAUCGUUUACGGCGUGGACUAC
rnacentral:misc_RNA from 1 species